rnacentral:piRNA from 1 species
ACAAAGGCAAGAAAGAACUGGAAA